rnacentral:rRNA from 1 species
GACGGAGGGGGCAAGCGUUGCUCGGAAUUACUGGGCGUAAAGCGUGCGCAGGCGGUUGGCUAAGACAGGUGUGAAAUCCCCGGGCUUAACCUGGGAACUGCGCUUGUAACUGGCAAGCUAGAGUGUGGCAGAGGGGGGUGGAAUUCCACGUGUAGCAGUGAAAUGCGUAGAGAUGUGGAGGAACACCGAUGGCGAAGGCAGCCCCCUGGGCUAACACUGACGCUCAUGCACGAAAGCGUGGGGAGCAAACAGG